rnacentral:rRNA from 1 species
AGGAUGAACGCUGGCGGCGUGCCUAAUACAUGCAAGUCGAGCGGUAAGGCCUCUUCGGAGGUACACGAGCGGCGGACGGCUGAGUAACACGUAGGAACGUACCCCAAAGUGAGGCAUAAGCACCAGAAAUGGUGUCUAAUACCGCAUGUGAUCUUAGGAUUAAAGCUCCGGCGCUUUGGGAACGGCCUGCGCAUGAUUAGCUUGUUGGUGAGGUAAUGGCUCACCAAGGCGACGAUCAUUAGCUGGUCUGAGAGGAUGACCAGCCAGACUGGGACUGAGAACGGCCAGACUCCUACGGGAGGCAGCAGUAGGGAAUUUUCCACAAUGGGC